UGCGUAGGCGGUCUUUCAAGCCAGAAGUGAAAGGCUACGGCUCGACCGUAGUAAGCUUUUGGAACUGUAGGACUUGAGUGCAGGAGAGGAGAGUAGAAUUCCUAGUGUAGCGGUGAAAUGCGUAGAUAUUAGGAGGAAUACCAGUAGCGAAGGCGGCUCUCUGGACUGUAACUGACGCUGAGGCACGAAAGCGUGGGGAGCGAACA
rnacentral:rRNA from 1 species